rnacentral:rRNA from 1 species
UACGGGGGUGGCAAGCGUUGUUCGGAAUUACUGGGCGUAAAGGGCUCGUAGGCGGCCAACUAAGUCAGCCGUGAAAUCCCUCGGCUUAACCGGGGAACUGCGUCUGAUACUGGAUGGCUCGAGUUUGGGAGAGGGAUGCGGAAUUCCAGGUGUAGCGGUGAAAUGCGUAGAUAUCUGGAGGAACACCGGUGGCGAAGGCGACUACCUGGCCUGUUCUUGACGCUGAGGCGCGAAAGCUAGGGGAGCAAACGGG